ACUGGUCUAAUAGGUCUAUAGAUACUGGUCUAACUGGUCUAUAGAUACUGGUCUAACAGGUCUAUAGAUACUGGUCGAACAGGUCUAUGGAUACUGGUCUAACAGGUCUAUAGAUACUGGUCUAAAUAUACUGGUCUAACUGGUCUAUAGAUACUGGAUACUGGUCUAACAGGUCUAUAGAUACUGGUCUAUAGACACUGGUCUAACAGGUCUAUAGAUACUGGUCUAACAUGUCUAUAGAUACUGGUCUAACAGGUCUAUAGAUACUGGUCUAACAGGUCUAUAGAUACUGGUCUAACAGGUCUAUAGAUACUGGUCUGGUCUAACAGGUCUAUAGAUUCUGGUCUAACUGGUCUAUAGAUACUGGUCUAACAGGUCUAUAGAUACUGGUCUAACUGGUCUAUAGAUACUGGUCUAAUUGGUCUAUAGAUACUGGUCUAACAGGUCUAUAGAUACUGGUCUAACAGGUCUAUAGAUACUGGUCUAUAGACACUGGUCUAACAGGUCUAUAGAUACUGGUCUAACUGGUCUAUAGAUACUGGUCUAACAGGUCUAUAGAUACUGGUCUAUAGAUACUGGUCUAACAGGUCUAUAGAUACUGGUCUAACAGGUCUAUAGAUACUGGUCUAACUGGUCUAUAGAUACUGGUCUAGCUGGUCUAUAGACACUGGUCUAACAGGUCUAUAGACACUGGUCUAACAGGUCUAUAGACACUGAAGGCUAUCGUAAUAAAG